rnacentral:rRNA from 1 species
UAUAAUUUGAUCAUGGGCUCAGAUUGAACGCUGGCGGCAGGCCUAACACAUGCAAGUCGAGCGGAUGACGGGAGCUUGCUCCUUGAUUCAGCGGCGGACGGGUGAGUAAUGCCUAGGAAUCUGCCUGGUAGUGGGGGACAACGUUUCGAAAGGAGCGCUAAUACCGCAUACGUCCUACGGGAGAAAGCAGGGGACCUUCGGGCCUUGCGCUAUCAGAUGAGCCUAGUCGGAUUAGCUAGUUGGUGAGGUAAUGGCUCACCAAGGCGACGAUCCGUAACUGGUCUGAGAGGAUGAUCAGUCACACUGGAACUGAGACACGGUCCAUGACUCCUACGGGAGGCAGCAGUGGGGAAUAUUUGGACAAUGGGCGAAAGCCUGAUCCAGCCAUGCCGCGUGUGUGAAGAAGGUCUUCGGAUUGUAAAGCACUUUUAAGUUGGGGAG